CUUUCGUCUUGACUUGUCUUGGAAUUGGACUAGCCGCUGGAGCAGGCUUUUAUCUCUACAGGAAAUUUACCAGUGCAAAUGGAGAUGACCAAAACACUGAAAACUCUACUUCACAGAGUGCCACACAGGAAACAUCAGAUGAUGAUUAUCCUACAAAAGAAGACUUGGGUGAUGUUUCUAAAGACGGCACCACCACGGUCUUUUCAAAUGAAACUCAGAUCGAGGUACAACGGAUCAAGAAAGAUACAUCAAGUCUGCAAAAUGGCGUCGAGAAACAACAAGAGGACGCGACACGAAAUCCAACCGAGAGUCAGAAAAUCGCUGACAAGAAACAUCAGACUAAGAAGUCAAAUUUUGGUGGAAUGAAGAAAGGAUUCCUUCUAUAAACUGAAAUAUUUUUCAAAAAA